rnacentral:lncRNA from 1 species
CAGUAGAAAUGGGAAGCAUGGCCAGCAGCCACAACAGCAGGAUGCGGUCCAAAAGGGUAUUUCUAUUAUUGUGGAUGGUGAAACACCAUAAUUAGGCGUAUGCUUUUAUUGCUCGUUAUUAGUCUCAUCAUGUAGAAGAAUGAAGGUAUAGUUUUUGUUGACGGAAGUUGAGUAACAGGGCAUGCUAAUGAGAGAUGCAGUGAUGGUCUUAUCCAGUCAGCUGCUGGUCUCAUCAUUUUCAUUUAUCGAGAUGGAUAGAGUUCUUGUACAUUUUGGGCUAAACAUAAAUGAAG